AGUGAACGCUGGCGGUAGGCCUAACACAUGCAAGUCGAACGGCAGCACAGUAAGAGCUUGCUCUUACGGGUGGCGAGUGGCGGACGGGUGAGGAAUACAUCGGAAUCUACUUUUUCGUGGGGGAUAACGUAGGGAAACUUACGCUAAUACCGCAUACGACCUACGGGUGAAAGCAGGGGAUCUUCGGACCUUGCGCGAUUGAAUGAGCCGAUGUCGGAUUAGCUAGUUGGCGGGGUAAAGGCCCACCAAGGCGACGAUCCGUAGCUGGUCUGAGAGGAUGAUCAGCCACACUGGAACUGAGACACGGUCCAGACUCCUACGGGAAGCAGCAGUGGGGAAUAUUGGACAAUGGGCGCAAGCCUGAUCCAGCCAUACCGCGUGGGUGAAGAAGGCCUUCGGGUUGUGAAGCCCUUUUGUUGGGAAAGAAAAGCAGCAGGUUAAUACCCCGCUGUUCUGACGGUACCCAAAGAAUAAGCACCGGCUAACUUCGUG
rnacentral:rRNA from 1 species